rnacentral:rRNA from 1 species
UACGGAGGGUGCGAGCGUUGUCCGGAAUCACUGGGCGUAAAGGGCGCGUAGGUGGCUCGUGAAGCGUGCGGUGAAAGCCUGGGGCUCAACCCCGGGUCGGCCGUGCGAACUGGGGGGCUGGAGCACUGUAGAGGCAGGCGGAAUUCCGGGUGUAGCGGUGGAAUGCGUAGAGAUCCGGAAGAACACCGGUGGCGAAGGCGGCCUGCUGGGCAGUUGCUGACACUGAGGCGCGACAGCGUGGGGAGCAAACAGG